ensembl:lncRNA
CCUUAAUCAUCUUAGUCACUUUGGAUUGAAACAGCUGUUUAAAUGACGGAAAAGGAUGUUCAUGUCCUUUAGAAAUGAUUCAGAUUCUUCAUCUCAACACAGCCGUGCUGCAGAUGUGUUGUUUGGUCAGCUGGUUCCCACGCUGCAGAACUUCAUGUGUCAAAGCGUAAGGGGAAGUCAUUUUUAUUUUUGUAUCUCGCUGUCAGCGAUAGUCAGAUUAUUAACACUCAUGCCUUUGGCCCCCUUGAGUUAUAAUGCUACGUUGUGUAGCAUUAUAACCACGGAACGCCCCUCUACUAAUAUUGAGCUAGAUGGUUUUAAUGCUAUUUCUUAUUCAACCAAAUAGUUUAAGUUUUGUUUUUUAAACUCACAGUGGUUGUGGUGUCCUUUGGCCUCUUGUUUCCUGUCAAGAAAAUGCCACAGUGAACGUUUCCAUGGUGAUAUAAACGGUGUGUAGACAGAUGUAGACGUGACAACACGGUGGUGUCAAUGGUCUCCUCUUACCUCUCCUUCUGAGCCAGCGAAUGAGGAGAACCAGGCCCACGAUCAACAGGACCGCUGUACCCAGCGCUACCCUGCUGCUAUAGUUCCACCUGAACACAGGAAGAGGUUACCUUCCUCUCGUUCAGUCGGCAGUAUCUCAUAUGAAUUAAGAACCUACAUGGGUGGACAUGGACUUAUGUUGGAAACCAUAGAAAAUGACUUAAGGUUAAACAGACAGUAAAAUAUUUGAUGAUAGAAUACAGAAUAUUAUCCUAGUUUUUAUAGAGGUUGACUCCAAGGCAAAAGGUUCUUGGUUUGAACCCCAUAUUUUCACUUUUGUGAAAACAUGUCCUUUAGAAAAGAUGCAGAUUCGAUUUCUCACAGCCGUUGCAUUUGCAGAUGUGUUGCUGUGGCCAUCGGUUCACAUGCGGCCAGACAUUCAUCUGUCACAGCGUAUGGGGAAGUAUUUUGUGUGCUGAUGAAGUUGUGAAAAAGUUGUGUCCGAUUAUCGGAUCAUUAACAAACAUCCUACGGCCACUAUGAGUCAAUAGAUUGAAAUAUAUACAGCUCACUUUUGCUUCUAAUUUAAACAUAACAUAACUAAAAACCUCUCGACAAUAUAAAAAUAUUUCAAAACCAUUCAAACAGUAAUCAUGUAUUUUAAUGCAGACUCUGCUUCACUUAUUUUUAACAGCAAAAUAACAGCCUACCACAAGACAAAAAGCACCAACUGUAAGUAAAUAUAGUUAUGGACACCAUUUUGAAACAUGGCUCCUCAGAUGAAAUACCUUUCACUGUAGUUGAGGUUGGUUGGGAUGUGCUUGUGGUUUUCGUAAUGCAAAUGGUGCGUGCGUAUGUAAAUAGCAGAUAAAACAUGAGUUCCAAUUUGUCUUAUUCCCAGGCUACAUCCCACCCAAACUAGUUUGCAGACAUGGUGCAAUGUGUGUGGUUAAUGAAGCAGGCCUACAUUACUGGCUAGCUCUGUGUUCCUGUGAACAUGAAGUAGGAAGUGUGAUGGUUCCAGAGGGUUAGCUGUGGUGGUGGUGGUCGGACCGUUAUAACACAUGUUGAUGAUUCACAUGACCUAAACCACAGAUUAAGAAUGAACACCAUUUUGAAAUGGUGUUCUUCUCACCAUUGGUAGGUGUUGGUGUUGAGGGCCUUGCUGCUGGGCUGCUGCUGGCUGACUCCACAGCCUGCCUUAACCCCUACCUGCUCCUUAAUGUCAUGUGACUGAACUCACUGUUUGUACACCUUGACUAAAGCAUCUGCUAAAGUGACUCAAAAGAGAUGUAGUUAUCUCUUAUUUAGAAAUUAUGCAGAUUAUGUUGCAACACUUGCUCAUAUGCUUUGCUGUGGUUAGUGGCUCUAAAUUGGAUCACACACUGACAGAAUUUCAAUUUGGUUUUGUGCAAGGGCAAGUAUUUUUGCAUGUGGAAGAAUGUGGGAAAACUUUGUUGGUGAUGCAGUGAGAGAUUGUCAGAUUGUUAGAACACAUACCCUGGUCAGUAGUGUCACAUGUUACUGAUAAUAAACUUGGUUUUGUCUCUGGCUUAUGAUAACUCAAAACCUCUUAACUAUAAGGAAACACAUCAUAUAAACUCAGCCAUCGCUUGAUGCAGAUCUUUUAUCCAGCCUGACUCAUGGCCCUGCAGUCAUGUUGUUGUGGUUAAUAAAGUACAUCUCUGACCAGCUCUGUUUUUCUGUGAAACAGAUGUAGGAAGUGUGAUGGUUUAAUAGUCUUGGUUGUGGUGAAGCUAGAUAGUUAGAAUACAUAACUUGAUGCUACAAGUCUACA